rnacentral:rRNA from 1 species
AACGAACGCUGGCGGCGUGCCUAACACAUGCAAGUCGAACGGGAAAACCCGCAAGGGUGAGUACAGUGGCGCACGGGUGCGUAACACGUGGGUAAUCUGCCCAGAAGCCCGGAAUAACUCCCCGAAAGGGGUGCUAAUGCCGGAUGAGACCACGGGGACUUCGGUUCCUGGGGGAAAAGGUGGCCUCCGUAUACAAGCUAUCACUUCUGGAUGAGCCCGCGGCCCAUCAGCUAGUUGGCGGGGUAAUGGCCCACCAAGGCUACGACGGGUAGCUGGGCUGAGAGGACGAUCAGCCACACUGGAACAGAGACACGGUCCAGACUCCUACGGGAGGCAGCAGUGGGGAAUCUUGCGCAAUGGGCGAAAGCCUGACGCAGCAACGCCGCGUGUGUGAUGAAGGUCUUCGGAUCGUAAAGCACUGUCGGGAGGGACGAAUAAGGGCCGGGUGAACAAUCCGGUUCGACGACGGUACCUCCAGAGGAAGCACCGGCUAACUCUGUGCCAGCCGCCGCGGUAAUAC